UGCGCAGGCGGCCCGAUAAGUCAGAGGUGAAAUAUGACGGCUCAACCGUCAAACGGCCCCUGAAACUGUCAGGCUUGAGUUCGAGAGAGGUAGGUGGAAUUCCAGGUGUAGCGGUGAAAUGCGUAAAUAUCUGGAGGAACACCGGUGGCGAAGGCGGCCUACUGGCUCGAUACUGACGCUCAGGCACGAAAGCAUGGGGAGCGAACAGGAUUAGAUACCCUGGUAGUCC
rnacentral:rRNA from 1 species